CUCCCAGGCCGAGCGAACAGAACAGUCUAGAACAGAGCCUCUCUCUCAACCCCCAGAACAAGAGAGGUUUACUUGAGGCACCGCCUUGUGUCGAUGAUGCCAACGACCCCACAACAGAAGACGAAGGGGAGGGGUGCAGUUAAGUGCCAUGCAUAGCUGCCCCAGGCUCACAGAAGGAUCUAGAAGGCACUCACGAUGAGGGGCUCUGCUCACAGCAAGCAGUUAGGACGAAACUCCAUUGAGCCACUGAGGGCCUCGAGUUGCCGACCUUCGGGCCAGGCGCUAGGCAGGUCCGGGGACAGGAAGAUGAAGGAGAUGAAGCGGGCGCCCUCUGGGCCACUUGCAGCGGAAAACAGACAACAAAAUGCAACAGGAGAAACAUAAAAGAUGACGCAUCCAAAGUCCCAGAUGCACAGACGAGCAGUAUUUGGUGGUUUUCCCACUUCAUUUUCAGCCCCAGAAAUCACAGCACAAUGGGAAAAAUUCCAAACAUUUCCAAAAAACAUUUUUUUUUUUUUAUUUUAAGCAGGCUCCAUGCCCAGUGCGGGGCUUGAACUCACGACCCUGAGAUCAAGAGUCACAUGCUCCACCGACUGAGCCGGCCGGGAGCCCCUAAAUCUUCUUCUUCGCAGUCUGAAUGUCUUCCGCCUCAAAGACACAAGUUAAGUGUGCUUAUUUUAAUAUUUAUUAAUAAGAUAAAUAAUACACAUAAAUUACAAAGAGAGAAAUUACAUCAGUCGACAGGUAGCCACGCCUCAUGCCCAAAAAUGAAAGCGGCAAUUUGGAACUGGUGCCUUGAUGGAAAAGCGCUUCAGUCGGGCCUCCUUUAAACGCUGCCAGUGAGUCAGCACCGCACAGAACACCCCCGGGCCGGGCUCUGCCUCCCUGUCAACUGCGGCAAAGUGUUAACACGACGUAACCCUCGGCCCACAUCCAGACAGGCAAAUGGAAAUCUAAAUGGAGUCUCCAAUUUUCUUCCCUGCCCCCGGCGCCCCGCGAGCCCACUCUGAGGGGGGGUUAGCACCCCCCAUCCCGGGGUACUCCGGGGGAAGCAGGCGGCACCGUGGCUGUUCUGUGGGCUCCGCGGGGAACGCUCGCCGCCCGGCACAGUCCUGACUGGGGGGGGCGGCGCGGACACAGCACGUCUCUCCUCGAUGUUCUUCGGAGCGAGCCGCCCGUCCGCCCACCGUCGCGGAAGACGCGCAGGAGGAGACGCUGAGCCGGGUGGGGGGGGGGGGGGCGGCUGAAGAGUCGCCAGUCCGCCCACAGAAUCCCGAGGCCGCGGCGUCCGGAGAAGUUUCUCGGGCAGCGACGCUCCCGGACGCAUCCGUCUAGUCCCUCUCCUCCUCCUCCCCCUCGUGCACCUGCUUCCUAACCAAGAACAGGCCCCUGGCCGCCCCGAGCCUGCGUCAGACGGCAGCCAGGAAGAACGACCACAGAGAGCCGCCGCGAGGACGGGAUGGCACACGUGGAGCGGCCGGUGCCCGCGCGGCACCAAACGUGGCAGCCGCGCUCCACGCUUGGGCUCCGAGGUGCGAGGCGAUGACCGCCGCCACCAGGAAGGAGGAAGGGGGGGUGACAGGAGGUCCGGCACCGGUCAGGGGGCUUCGAUCACGCCUGCGACGUGGCCGGGCAGCGCGUCUCCGUGCGGGGCGCUCGAUGCCAGCUUGAUGGGCCCCAGAGCCAAGACAGAAGGGGAAACCGGAGGGUAAGCCCUGCUCGCUCACAGGGACGAGCACAGACGUCACAGUGAGCCGUCGGUGCUGGCCGCGCGCUCCUCGGGCCCUAAACCAAUGACCGUGGGCUCCCCGCAGAAGCAAAAGGGUGCUUUUAAAGGCGUCCAGAGUCACUGGUACCUCGCGGCGGUUGGGUCAUCCUAUCUUUCCCUGGCCCUUCUCUAAACUUGUAACUUCCCCGUUGUGGAAUAUCAUUGACUUGACCUC